CUGGGAUGGAAGUAACAAAGAAGGUUCUGUGCACACCACUCCCCUGAGUUUCUUGCAAGCCUUAUGAAGGAUAUUACAUCUCGAUGAACAGAUCUCCAUGAGGAAGAGGAGGCUGUACAAUGAAAGAAGCUGGUGAUGGUGGUAUGGCCGUGAGAAUCUGUUUGAAUUUGUCACUGCGUUUUCCUUAGCUGCAAGGAAGUGAAAGGAAACUCAAUGAAAAAUAGAGUAACUUAUCCUAUAAAAUAACAGGAAAUGAUGCCCUGUAGCCUAAUGAUGAUGGGAGGUGAAGCUGAGUGACAACCUAGCAGCAGCCAAUUAGGUCAACCAGCAGGUUUUCCAUUUAUUUGUUUUAGGCAACCUUUAAAAGAGGAUGAGAAAGAGGAUCCGUAUGGGAAUUGCUGCAGGAGGAAGCUGUAACUUGGCAUGGUGGAUGAAUGCAGCGUAAUCAAAUGCUAUGAACAAAAUUAUCAUUAAUAAAGAGAGAUUUGACACUUGGCUGAAUCAGAGUGCACAAGUAAUAAUAAACUGGAGGAAUGAAAGCUGAUGUAUUGAGCAGAUUCUCCUGGAAAACACAGGAAAAAAUAGAGGAGUAUGGAGGCAACAAGGCUGGGGCAAGGAGGAGGAACAAAAAGCAGUCACAGUCCUAUCAGACCUCAUGCAGCACUGCAGCUAUUAUGGACGGAAUCGGUCAUCCAGGAAGCAAAGCUGUAGCUGUUGAGGACUCCUUCAGACCAAGGAGAAGCUGA
rnacentral:lncRNA from 1 species